rnacentral:rRNA from 1 species
ACAAAGAAGAGUUUGAUCCUGGCUCAGGAUGAACGCUAGCGACAGGCUUAACACAUGCAAGUCGAGGGGCAUCGCGUUGUAGCAAUACAAUGGCGGCGACCGGCGGACGGGUGAGUAACGCGUAUGCAACCUGCCUACUACAGGGGGAUAGCCCUAAGAAAUUGGGAUUAAUACCGCAUAAAACAGGGGUUCCGCAUGGAAAUAUUUGUUAAAGAUUUAUCGGUAGUAGAUGGGCAUGCGUUCCAUUAGCUUGUUGGCGGGGUAACGGCUCACCAAGGCAACGAUGGAUAGGGGCGCUGAGAGGUUAGUCCCCCACACUGGGACUGAGACACGGCCCAGACUCCUACGGGAGGCAGCAGUGAGGAAUAUUGGUCAAUGGGCGGGAGCCUGAACCAGCCAAGUCGCGUGAAGGAUGAAGGGUCUAUG